GACGAACGCUGGCGGCGUGCCUAAUACAUGCAAGUUGAGCGAUGAAGAUUGGUGCUUGCACCAAUUUGAAGAGCAGCGAACGGGUGAGUAACGCGUGGGGAAUCUGCCUUUGAGCGGGGGACAACAUUUGGAAACGAAUGCUAAUACCGCAUAACAACUUUAAACGUAAGUUUUAAGUUUGAAAGAUGCAAUUGCAUCACUCAAAGAUGAUCCCGCGUUGUAUUAGCUAGUUGGUGAGGUAAAGGCUCACCAAGGCGAUGAUACAUAGCCGACCUGAGAGGGUGAUCGGCCACAUUGGGACUGAGACACGGCCCAAACUCCUACGGGAGGCAGCAGUAGGGAAUCUUCGGCAAUGGACGAAAGUCUGACCGAGCAACGCCGCGUGAGUGAAGAAGGUUUUCGGAUCGUAAAACUCUGUUGGUAGAGAAGAACGUUGGUGAGAGUGGAAAGCUCAUCAAGUGACGGUAACUACCCAGAAAGGGACGGCUAACUACGUG
rnacentral:rRNA from 1 species